rnacentral:rRNA from 1 species
GGCUCAGGAUGAACGCUGGCGGCGUGCUUAAUACAUGCAAGUCGAACGAAGAGUUCUGUAGCAAUACGGAGCUUCUUAGUGGCGAACGGGUGAGUAACACGUUGGUGACCUGCCCCGAAGUGUGGGAUAACAGUCCGAAAGGAUUGCUAAUACCUCAUGUGGUUAUUGGGAUUAGAAGCUAAUAACUAAAGCAGCAAUGCGCUUCGGGAGGGACCUGCGUCCCAUCAGCUAGUUGGUAGGGUAACGGCCUACCAAGGCUACGACGGGUAAGGGACCUGAGAGGGUGGUCCCUCACAAUGGCACUGAAACACGGGCCAUACACCUACGGGUGGCAGCAGUAGGGAAUAUUGGGCAAUGGGCGAAAGCCUGACCCAGCAACGCCGCGUGUGCGAUGAAGGCCUUCGGGUCGUAAAGCACUUUUCUGAGGAAUGAGAAAGGACAGUACCUCAGGAAUAAGUCUCGGCUAACUACGUGCCAGCAGCCGCGGUAAAACGUAGGAGACGAGCGUUAUCCGGAUUUACUGGGCGUAAAGCGUGUGCAGGCGGUUCGGCAAGUUGGAUGUGAAAUCUCUCGGCUCAACUGGGAGAGGUCGUUCAAAACUACCGAACUUGAGGUCAUCAGAGGAAAAUGGAAUUCCCGGUGUAGUGGUGAAAUGCGUAGAUAUCGGGAGGAACACCAGUGGCGAAAGCGGUUUUCUGGGAUGAUCCUGACGCUCAGACACGAAAGCUAGGGGAGCAAACGGGAUUAGAGACCCCGGUAGUCCUAGCUGUAAACGAUGUAGACUUGGCGUCGGAGGGUUCAAAACCUUCGGUGUCGUAGCUAACGCGAUAAGUCUACCGCCUGGGGACUACGGCCGCAGGUUAAAACU